AUGGGUUUGCCUUGCUGUCCAUUGCCUCAUAUUGGUUUGGAAGUGUGGGGCCUGUCUCGGCCUCCUUCGGGACGCUCCUCCCUGCGAAGUGGAUAUUUCCUGUGCAAGGAUGGAGUUGCUGUCCUGUCCUCAGAACUUCUGGUGGCCCUUCCUCUUUUUGACACGCCCCGUGUGCCUUUGCAGUAUCGAGAGGAGGAUUCCAGAGCUGCAGCCACUCUGCUGUGCCAGCACACAGAGAAGGAUGUGACACCGUUUUUCCAGAGUGAUAACUGUGGUUUAAAAGAAGCCAGCGCUGCCAGGAGAGCAGAGGGCGGAUCCGAGAUAAGGACCCGUGGGCAGUGAAGCUGCUGAAAUUAUGGUUCAGGCUGGUGCCAGACGUGACAGAGAGCAGGGUCUGAAGCUCAUCUCCACUUGUUCUGAGUGAAACCCUUCAGCCAGAGUGCCAGAGUGAGUUCUCACCUCCGGGGACAGCUGAGUGUGGUCCCCAAAGCUGUCAUCAGGUGUGGCCAGCAGGGCAGGAGAAGGUUUUCAAGGCAUUGCUGGAGGUGCUGGCUCUAAGCACAGGGUAGCACAAGAUGUUUGCUCUGUGCUGCUGCUGCAAGUUAUGUUUAGCCUCUUGGAAAUAUUCCCAGCCCACCAGGAGUCAUUUCUGACUAACAGGCACCCCUUAAUCUGUCUCUAAUCCCCCCCUAUAAUUUUACACCUCUUUAGCCUCAUCCAAAUAAAAACCCUCAGUUGCUUAAGUAACGAUUGAUG
rnacentral:lncRNA from 1 species